GCCCUCCUACGGGGGGCAGCAGUGGGGAAUAUUGCACAAUGGGGGAAACCCUGAUGCAGCGACGCCGCGUGAAGGAGGAAGUAUUUCGGUAUGUAAACUUCUAUCAGCAGGGAAGAAAAUGACGGUACCUGACUAAGAAGCCCCGGCUAACUACGUGCCAGCAGCCGCGGUAAUACGUAGGGGGCAAGCGUUAUCCGGAUUUACUGGGUGUAAAGGGAGCGUAGACGGCAUAGCAAGUCUGAAGUGAAAGCCCGUGGCUCAACCGCGGAACUGCUUUGGAAACUGUUAAGCUGGAGUACUGGAGG
rnacentral:rRNA from 1 species